rnacentral:misc_RNA from 1 species
CGACGGAACGGGAGGUAUUUCGUAAAAAAGGAACGACCUUCGAACGAUUCGAAGUAUCGAAAGGAGGAGACACUCAUCUCGUUAGUGUCCGCUCUACCGUCCAACAAGAUGCAUUUGUUCUCAAGCGACGUGUCGUUUCUUCUUUACACCGCCGGGACUGGUCUUCCAGAUGUGAAGCUGACGGAAAUACUUCUCGCAUGAACGAAUUGAAUUCGAGAAUUUCAGUGUCGUCUCAGAUGAUGCGAGCAUCGUCGAUCGAGUUAUUGAUCGUCGGCCUGUCGCUAUUGCGCUUCGUCGAUCCUAUUCACAACAGUAACGUUCAGAGAUCUUAUUCGGUGAGCUAUGACCCGUCUGUUCCUUCUAUUACGCAUUCGGAAUUGCAUAAUGUUCGGAAUGUUCGCGAAGGAUACGAUUCCUCGAGCAUCGACAAGCAUUUGCCACGCGCGAGCGAAGAGAAGGCUGUUGACAGUUUGGAUUUGUUGAGUUAUCCUGAAAGAAUAUCGAAAGAAACGGUAUUUCUGCCAAUACUCGCUAUACCGAUGGAAUAUCGUAGUUAUAGAAAUUAUGGGCUGAACGAUCGUUCGAAGAAGGAAGAUGAGAUAAAUUCCAAAGAGGAAGAUAAAGAGAGUAGCUCGAUCGAGGGAGAAAUUAUAGAAAAAAUGAAAAUUCUCGAUAAAUUUUUAUCCGAAGAUUCGAAUGCAAAGGAUUUUGAUGUAAAUGGAAUCGAGGAUAAUAUCAUCCCUGAAGAGUCGAAGAGAGUCGUCAGAGAGGUGAAGAAGCAAAAGCCAGGAUUCUUUUGGACUCUGGCAAAACUCACAUUUGAGAUGAUCAACGACACGAAAUCAGCGAUCAAGCAAAUCAGUGAUAUUAUCAACAACAGUAUAGCGCCAGAUUCGGCCACUCAGAGUACGAUGACGAAGGCGGCUUUGACGGCUCCACAAUCGACGAACAAUGAAACGAACGCGAGCAAUCUGAACGCAACAGAAACAACGACAGAAGCGUCUACGACUACCACGCAACCCACCUUGACCAGAGACGAUUUGCAAAAAUUAAUCAGACGAAACGUGUUGGGCCUCGUUAGACUUUUCAACAUUGAAUGGAAUGACGCCCUGAACCAAUCAGAAACGAACGUGAAAGAGUUCCAGAAGAAUCUAGGAAACCAGGUGGGACUUUAUCUUCGUGAUAAUCCAGAAGCGUACAAGGAUUUUUAAAGAAUUCUUCUCCACAACGAUCCUUAGUAUUCAUUCUCGUAGCACGUAGUUAGCAAAGACUGAAACACCCCACGCACUCGGAUAACUAGUGAAAGAGAAAGAACUCUUAGGGAGUUAAGGCGCGAAUUCGAGAAAAUGAUUGCGACGAAUAGAAAGCACGAUUGGCGGGUUUCGAUUGGUUGAUAUGAGGCGUGGGAUUACUUGAUUCGCUUAUAUGUGGAUCACGGAGACGAGUCAGCAACUGUGUGUGAUCAGUGCUCUUCUGUGCGAAUCGCGAAAGUCGGAUUUCUACAUUUCUAAACGAGGGUUGUAGAUAUAUAUAUAAA